UAACCGAUAACCUAAAAAUUUAGUAAAAAUUUUGAUUGGAAAAAAAUGCAUCGAUAAGGGGGUGUGGGAAAUGGAAAUUAGUGGCUUUUUUGCUGUACUGUCUGCUAGUCAAAUCACACAACACUUUUUUCUAUGCUGCUAGUUUUUGCUCUGGGCUCUGGCUGGAUCUCUUGUUUAAACAAUUUUAAUCAGCUGAAAGUGGCCUACAAAAAAAAACCAAGAAGGAAAUGUAAAGCCUUGUGGCUAUGAAAGGCAAAAGAGAGAUAUAAAAAGUGUAUUGGCUAGUUGGAAGAAAGUCCACAUUGUCCAUGCAUAAUAAGUUAUUACUUUAUCAACCAAUAUCAAGAAGAUAGCAGGGUCACGAGCAACAACUUCAUAAGUUCAAGAAUAUCGAGGAAAUCCAGCUCCUCGAUACUACUGGG
rnacentral:lncRNA from 1 species